AAUCAGCCCGCAAUAGCGCUUCAUAUAAUCCCUCUGAUACGGUGUGGGAGUUUCUACCAAAGGCCAAUAACCUUUGAUUAUGAAGUCAUUGUCUUUAUUU
rnacentral:ncRNA from 2 species